ACAUAUAUAUAUAUAUAAUAUAUAUAUCUGGAUGUACUCGCAUAUAUACAUAUAUAAAUGCGCGUUAUAUUAUACAUUCAUAUAUGUAAUGCAUAUAAAUUAAUGUUUUGCCUCAAAUGAUUUUCUUUAAAUGAGCUGCGAUUCAUUUUCUACCAACACACACUCACAGUUUUAGCUUAAUUUGUGUAUUUCCAACUAUACAUUUAUGGUACAUAUGUAACUGCUGAUACAUACGCUUUUAUGCACAUACACCAAUAGCUUUUGCGCGCACUGUAGUAUAAAAGGGGUAAAACGUCGACGCAGUAUACACAUGCAUACAUUUACAUAAAGCUAUUGCACGAUUUGCACUCGCACUCAAGUUGUGCUUAACGGCGCAUCUGCUUAAAAUUUACUCACUCAAAACCCGAAGUGUGUGUGCAGUUUUUGCUUUGUGGAGCAGCUGCGAAAUGUAUGCAUGCAAAGCGCUCACUUACACCAAUGCGCUUUAGAGAAUAUGAGUAUGUGUGCGCAUUGCUGAGCGCGUGUUGCUUGUGUGCGCUUGCAAAUCCACCAAUGAUCCGCGUUGCAGUUCAUUGCGCCUGCUUGAGAGUGACGUCGUUGACCGUCGCAGCAGCGCGUCAUCGUUAUUGUCACUGCAGGCAUUGCCGUAUUGCCACUGUUCUUUGACUAUGUUGCGUACGGCGGAGUAGCAUUUAAAGCUAACCAAAGCGAACGCAAUGCGCCAACCAAACGCGUCUGAUGCAAACGCAUGUUAAGUUGUACGGCGGCGCGUUCAUGAUAUUUAGUUAAUAGAUGCAAACAAUAUCAACGACAAAAAAAAAAUUAUUUAAAUGUUUGCAAAUUUAAAUGUUAACGUGCAAUUAGUUUUGCGUAUUUUGGUAGAAUAUUGUGCGUCGCGUAUGUCGUUGAUUAGGUUCUACAAACAACACUACCGUAAACAAAUAACUAUAUAACGAAAGAGUGUCAAUUUAGUGAUGCAAAAAUUUAUACGUUCAGACAACGCGCGCUCACUACAAAUUGCACAGUGCUCGGCGGCACCGCCAGCGCUUCACUUUACACUUUAAACAUAAUACGUGAUGUAAGUGAGUUAGUAUGGCGCUUGCAUUCGAGCGCUUUUCUCAUUGCGAACAAAGACAGUCGGCAGCGCUGCAUUUUUUCAAUGCGUUGCGCUUGUCUUGGAGAAUUUCUUGAAGUCUAGCAGCCGCUCAGCGUACACAUUUCUGCACUCGCAUACGUGGGAGCGCCUGUGAACAACGCCAGCAGCAGCGCGCGCCGUCGUAGGUGCCGCACACCCCACAAUCGAAGCAAUAAGCCAUUGCAUAUACAUAUUUGUGUGACCAUCACAUCUACAGUGUCGCGCUCAGAUGCCGCUCUGCUGUACUUUUGCUGGUGAAUUUGAAGUUCUUGGCCGUCUUGUCGUCCGGUAGCAAUGCACUCAACGCGCCGCUUUUCAUCGACAACGCUGACUGCAACAAUACAGAGCAAAAAAUAAAAAAUAAAAAUAAAAAAAUUUAAAAAAUAACUGUUUAGAGAAAUAAGCGCUUAAAAACAAAUACUGUAUAAACCAAAACGUGUAAAAUCUUAUAGCGCGGAAUACUGCAGACGUAAACAUUGCCAUAAUGAAGUGCGUAGAGUGCAUAAACGCCGCUGGCUGGCAGCUUUGCAUGUGAUAACAAAAACAUAUACAUAUAUAUAUGUAUAUAUAUAUAUAAAUAUAUAUACACAGUAUAUAAAAAAGUUAUAGUAUAUAUAAAAGUUCAGCGAAAAUUGCAAUUAAUUUUGAAAUGAAAAUCUUCGCAUAAAUAAACCGAUUUUCGUUUACGAAAAGCUGAAAGCAAAGUUUAAUAAGACAAGUGCAAAAGUGCAAGCGUAGAAUAUGUGUGCGGUGAAAAUACAUAUAUGUUACAUACAUUUAUGUAUGUAAAAUAAAUUACUCCGGGUCGCUGAUCGAUGCUUCGACGCUUUUAGACCCUACCUCAAUGCAACGCGUUGCAUACAAAUAAUGUAUAUACCGAAUAUAUGUGCAGACAAAGGUCUAUGUAGUGGCUCAUAGAAAAAUCUAAGUGUUUAAGAAUAUGCACACAUAAACUAGGAAACAAAUUUUGAAUAAUAUGAAAAUAAAUAUAUAAAAAUGUUUAUUAUAACAGUGCGAAAAUGUGAACUGUCAAAAGUGUGUACAUACUAACAUACAUAUUGAAACGCGUGGCUGCUGCUCGGACUUUGGACGGAUAUUUGUGGAAAAUUGCAUGAUAUGCUAAUUAUUCGAAACAAACACCAAAGAAAAAACCGACAUAGUAUGCGCCUUCGUGCAAUUUAGUUAGUUGAAUUUUUCGUAUUCAAGAAAUGGCGACGGCAAUCGGUCAACAUAAGCACGAGCAUUCGAAUAUGAAAGCUAACAAAAAAAAUUGUCAGCGCCGUCGGCAUAAACAAAUGAUGAAAGAGCAAAGCUGGUAAUAAAAUCAGCAAAACAAACACCGGAGGACAUUAAUGAGCUUUUUAUUCAAGGACAGAUUUGCUCGAACAGAAUUCCUCAGAUUUACUUGAACUAAGAAGAUUCAUCACGGACCCCAAUGUAUUCAAAGUUUUGAGAGUUGCUUUAUGCUUUAACCACUACUAAAAAACAGUAACUGUUAUAAAUAACGGAAGUGGCUCUAGUACGUACUUGCAGUAUUCAAAAAAUCUUUACAAGGAUAAUUUUUAAAUCCGAGUUCAACUUCCUACUACGUGAAUUCUCCAGAUCGCUUAGAGCUGCAUAAAAUAAGCUUGUUCACUGACAUUUAGAAAUGAGAUAAAGGUUUGUCCAAGUAUCUCCUCCAAUUUAUAGUCUGUGUGUUGGUUGACAAAUGAAAGGUCAAGAAUUUUAUCUGAAUAUUUUUCAUGGAAGCAUUACCUAUAAGGUAUGAUCUUCCUUAUAUAAUGAGGACCUUCAAGAAGCCAACUUUUUCCAUAAUUUUUCAUUGAAAUGAGAACGUGGAGUUCUAAAUACCAUUAAUAUAGUAUACAUGGUCUAUGGCGGUAUAUAAAGGAGUAUAAAUCGACAUCAAAAGAAUUGAUAAAUGGUGGUUUGAUUGACAGAGUUCGCAACUUAGAAGAAAAUAUCGUCUAUUUAAUAUUUUCGAAAAGUGAUGAUUGCUUUUUUAAGGUUAGGUUUUAUACUAAGGGAUAGUAAAAAUUUUAUAUCUCGUAUAACAUAACGUUUAUCGCGCUAAAAUCGACAAUCAUUUUCCGAUAUGCGCAAUUAUCUUGUGUCAAUUUUAUUUUAUGGUUUGUUUUCCGUUAUUAUUUAUACACGACCUAAGAACUUCGAUUAGAUCUAUCGCCGAGUAACGAAAAUCCAGCUUAUACAUCCAGUACACCGCAUAGAGACACUGUGAUCGUUACGACUGUAUAAAACCUGUGUGGACGUUUAGAAAUUCUUAUAUGAUCUGAUAUAUCCUUCAAUAUACUUAAUGGCUCAUACUGUGACAUACUAUUGCCUAUACACAAUAUUUAUUUACAAAAUUUUACAGCCAAAACGACAACUCUUUUAAUGAAUUACUCAAUAAGAUUCUCUUAAGAAAUUAACAAAUUCUUUGUUCUCAAAUCGGAGCUCAGUUCCUGGUAAUAUGCGACACACAUCUUAGCAACAUAGAGUGUUCAGCAAUAAUAUAAUAAAUAUUUCGCAACAACAAUCUCACGAAUUGCACAAAUAUUAUAUGCAAAUAUAAAGCAGACCAUAAAACCUACAAAAACUUACAACAAAAUGGAUGACUAAGAGUACAACCUGAAACAGAAUGGUGCAUACUUGUUUAUGGACCAUUAACAGAAACCCGUAAAUCCGAACUUGUGCUGUUGUUUGUGUUGCAAGACCGGCAUUAUGGGAGUCUGUCAAUGUAAACAACGUGUUGAAGGAACCAAAAACCAAAGGACAAAUGGCAAAAAAAAAAAGCGAAUGUAAAGUAAGGUUUAAGCUCCGACAGAUAUGCCUUCGGACCUUCAGUUAGUGGGCUUUGGGCGGGUUGGUUCCAGUAGUUUAACAUUUCUCUGGCAAAUUGAGGUAGUAGGUUGUAUAGUAGUAUUAACGGCAUGCUAUACAACGUGCUAGCUUUCUUUGCUUGACACCAAGCAGCGUUUUUAAGUGUGCAAAGAGCUGAAAACGUGAAAAAAUAAUUAAAUACUUGUACAAAGGAAACUCGCUACAAACUAUACUAGUUGUAGAUGAUAAGUGCUUAAAAAUACAUCACAAGAAUUUUGAAAAUUUCUUGUGUUAUCUGUAAUGAGCAGCAAAUAGUUUGUAUGUAAUGCUCGUAUAGUGUUGCACUUGAAUUGUAAUACAUACAUAUGUAUGCUAUAUAUAUAUAAUAGUUAAGUUGUUUUUGUUUUGCGUUAAGAUGUGUUUGUAUGGCUGAUUCCCUGAGACCCUAACUUGUGACUUUUAACAUCAGUUUCACAAGUUUUGAUCUCCGGUAUUGGCCGCAAACUUGCUGUUUUUGUGUGAAAUUCGUAAUACCAUAAUUGCAUUACCGUUCAUAACAUAUGCGUACAUACAUCCUUCAUGUCAUCUAACCAAUGCAUAUACAUUAAUAUAUAUGUAAGAGUAUGCUUGUAAUUGUUCAUUUAUUUAUUUAAGAUAGAUAUAGAUAUGAAUAAUGGCAUUUGCAGCGUUCAUUACAGAAAGUGCUGAAUUUUUAGAACUUAUAUUUUAGAAAAUGUAGCUUAUGCAUAGACGCUAUACGCCAAUCAUCAAAUAUUACGUAAAAAUUACUAAAAAGUUGUUUCGCUAAUAACAUGAAAAUAAUAUUUCAAUGGCAUAAAGCAAUUGACUCUAAAGUGAAUUAAUUAUUUGAUAAGGUAAGAUUUUGAAAAUUUAUUUAAAUAAAUAUUAAAGAGUAAUAAAAACUGAGAAAAAAGUACCCUUAUUACGAUUUACAACUCGACUAAGUUGAGUUGAAAUUUAUCUGUUUUAUAUAACAACUAGUUUUAAUUAUAAUUGUGUUGAUAUUGCCAACCUUAAAAAAGUGACGAUUUAACGAUAAUAGUACAACUUAACAAUUUUGGAGGUUGAGUUGUCGUGGAUGUAUAAAGUUGAGUUGCAAACAGUAAUAUAGAUCAAAAUAAUUUAAAUAAGCUUAUAAUAGAUGCUCUUAGUGGAUAUUGAAGGCUGACAACUGGAAUGACAACUGGAAUUUCAUUUGCGAAGGCCUCAAAAAGAAGAGACAACUGACGGAAUUGUGAAUAGAAUGCAUAAAGAAUCUUUCGUUUUCUAUUAAAACGGUGUGAACCCAUGUAAUUCUAUAAGCAGUCAUAGGAGCUAAGCGACGCAAUCUAGAGUCAAUCCCUUAAGAGCAAUGAAGAUUUUGCGGUUUCUAAUGUUCAAAAUACGUGUUAACAUCAAAUCGCUUAUAGUUUUUUAGAGCAAGCAAGAUAAUGAUCUUGCAGUUCAAACGCCUUAGCCAAAUAAAUAUAUGUUAAACGAGACCAUCGAGUUCACUAAGAGCCUUUUUUGCCUCUGGUAAACUGCUUCCAUAAGGAAGUUACAAGAAGCAUGUUCACACUACCUGCCAAACGAACCAAGUUUCAAAACUUAUUGGAAAUAAAUCGCAGACUAGUAACAUGGUUUUCAGCAGUACAACAAAGUAUAUGUGAGUAUGCAUGUUUAAUCGAACAAGUUGUAGAAUUAAAGUUUAUUUGAAUUUGAAGAAAGUG